GACGAACGCUGGCGGCGCGCUUAACACAUGCAAGUCGAGCGAUGAAAUUUUGACAGAACCCUUCGGGGUGAAGAUGAAAUGGAUUAGCGGUGGACGGGUGAGUAACACGUGAGUAACCUGCCUUUGACAUAGGGAUAGCCUCGGGAAACUGGGAUUAAUACCAAAUGAAACUGUAUGACCGCAUGGUCGAACAGUCAAAGAAAUUCGGUCAAAGAUGGACUCGCGGCUGAUUAGCUAGUUGGUGAGGUAACGGCCCACCAAGGCGACGAUCAGUAGCCGGCCUGAGAGGGUGAUCGGCCACAUUGGAACUGAGACACGGUCCAAACUCCUACGGGAGGCAGCAGUGGGGAAUAUUGCACAAUGGGGGAAACCCUGAUGCAGCGACGCCGCGUGAGCGAAGAAGGCCUUCGGGUCGUAAAGCUCUUUUAUGAGGGAAGAUAAUGACGGUACCUCAAGAAAAAGCCCCGGCUAACUACGUGCCAGCAGCCGCGGUAAUACGUAGGGGGCUAGCGUUGUCCGGAAUCACUGGGCGUAAAGGGUUCGCAGGCGGAAUAACAAGUCAGAUGUGAAAGGCACGGGCUCAACCCAUGUAAGCAUUUGAAACUGUAAUUCUUGAGAAGUGGAGAGGUAAGUGGAAUUCCUAGUGUAGCGGUGAAAUGCGUAGAUAUUAGGAGGAAUACCUGUGGCGAAGGCGACUUACUGGACACAAAUCUGACGCUGAGGAACGAAAGCGUGGGUAGCAAACAGGAUUAGAUACCCUGGUAGUCCACGCCGUAAACGAUGAGUGCUAGGUGUCGGGGGAGACCUCGGUGCCGGCGUUAACACAAUAAGCACUCCGCCUGGGGAGUACGUGCGCAAGCAUGAAACUCAAAGGAAUUGACGGGGACCCGCACAAGCAGCGGAGCAUGUGGUUUAAUUCGACGCAACGCGAAGAACCUUACCAGGGCUUGACAUACUGAGGACGUACUUAGAGAUAAGUAUUCUUCUUCGGAAGCCUCAAUACAGGUGGUGCAUGGUUGUCGUCAGCUCGUGUCGUGAGAUGUUCAGUUAAGUCUGGCAACGAGCGCAACCCUUACCUUUAGUUACCAGCAUGUAAAGAUGGGGACUCUAAAGGGACUGCCGAUGAUAAAUCGGAGGAAGGUGGGGAUGACGUCAAAUCAUCAUGCCCUAUAUGCCCUGGGCUACACACGUGCUACAAUGGUCGGAACAGAGGGAAGCAACAGAGCGAUCUCAAGCAAAUCUCAUAAAUCCGAUCCCAGUUCGGAUUGCACUCUGCAACUCGAGUGCAUGAAGUCGGAGUUGCUAGUAAUCGCAGAUCAGCAUGCUGCGGUGAAUGCGUUCCCGGGUCU
rnacentral:rRNA from 1 species